CAGUAGCCACGGUAAUACGUAGGUGGCAAGCGUUGUCCGGAAUUAUUGGGCGUAAAGGGCUCGCAGGCGGUUUCUUAAGUCUGAUGUGAAAGCCCCCGGCUCAACCGGGGAGGGUCAUUGGAAACUGGGAAACUUGAGUGCAGAAGAGGAGAGUGGAAUUCCACGUGUAGCGGUGAAAUGCGUAGAGAUGUGGAGGAACACCAGUGGCGAAGGCGGCUCUCUGGUCUGUAACUGACGCUGAGGAGCGAAAGCGUGGGGAGCGAACAGGAUUAGAUACCCCGGUAGUCCCUGUCUCUUAUAC
rnacentral:rRNA from 1 species